rnacentral:lncRNA from 1 species
UCUCCAUUUCUCCUACACACUCCCUACCAUCCCUGGGAAAGGUCUUCUAUGUUGUUGAACAUGCUGUGGAUGCUCUUUUCUCCUUCCUCCUUCUGUCUAUUGCUGAGACGCUCUUUUUCUCAAACACCCGUGUCAUAUAUCUUUCCUUGUUCAUGAGGACGUUUCUAGCCAGCCCAUGUCAAAGGGCUCACCUCUCUCCACAGACCAACCCUAGCCCCCACGGUGCACCAUUCCUCAGUCUGUAGUGUGGCUGUCCUCUACUGGUGACAUUUCCAUUUUCCAUUUCCAUUUUACCCAGGGGCAAGCCUGUGUGCUAUACUUCUUUGGGUCCUUGGUUUUGACAAUGGUGUUCGGAACAGGUGGCUUCAUGGUCAAUGAUUUUGUAUGCUGCUGCUGGUGUGAGCAUGCUGAAUUGCUCCAUGCCUGCAGCUCCCUCUAAAGCUGAUGGAGAGCCCUGUGCUGAGAUGAAAUGGGGGGAAAGGAGAAAUUUGUUGCCACUUUGAGAGUCAAAGGCAGUGGUCUUUCCAAGGAAGAGUGAACUAGCAGAAUCACUGCAGGAGAAGCAAAUUCUGGAGGCUGGAUGCCAAGAGAUGCUGUAAGAAAAGUUGUAAAGAUAUAUGUGGGGGAAACCACUGCUCCCAUCCCCCUUGGGAGACAAUUGGUAAACAAUAUAGUUGGCAAAGGAUAGGGACUGGGAGGGAAGUAAAAGAGGAGACAGAGUACAAUGAACAGAAUAGAUGCCAAUGGCCUUAUCAGCUUUAACAGAUGAUCUGAAAACUUUAAAGUAAUAAGGAAGUUUUUAUUCCCAUAAUUGUUAGUACUGUCUUUUGCUAGCUCCUCCGAUGUGACAGUGAUUGACCAUUGGCAGCUGGGUCUUCAAACUCUCUUCUAAAAUGUUGCAUCUCUAUGGGGACACAUGAGGAACUUAGUUCUUCUAUCUGGAAGUAGGUGUCCUCUAAGAUUUCUUGUGUUGUGUACUCUGUAUCCUUUUUUUUUUUUUGGACUAUGUCUCAGUUGCAUCAAAGCCCCAUUAACAUUGCCCUUUGGGAUCAAAAAGUAGUCCACCCGAGAAGAAAGAGUAGAGUUUUAGAGAACUGGGGUGAGAAUUCUGGGUAGAUGGCCAAGGUGUGGGCUCCAGGCUGAGCUUGCUGACACAUGACAUUGUCUGUUUCAGGUACUGGGACAAGUUUUCAAUGUCAAAAUCUUUGAAGCCACCAGGGCCUUUUUUGUUUUUGUUUUUUGGCUAGGUCUUGGCAGUACUCCUUCAUAUAGUAGUAGGUUCAGAAACUCAGGCUAAGGAAAGCAUCCAGAAAACAUUGUCUGCCUCUGCAACAGUUUGUGGAUAGCUUGUAAUUGUAGUUCUGAUCUUGUCAAUCUGUCUUAUAACUCUAAAUGUGUGGUCUCACCUGGCUAGAUACAGAAAAUACCUAUCUUCUUAUAGAAGCAGGCAAUCCUCAACCCCAUUAAAAAAGUAUGGUUUCUUGGACAUUCCAUCUAAUAGGAAUGCCAGUUUGCCUCCUGAUAUGUUGCCAGUCUGGCCAUUUCAGCAGUCACUGUUCAGCACUAGAGGAGGACUUCAGUAAAAGUUCCUUUGUCAGUAAGUCUUCCACGCAACAUAUUUGUUUCCAGGUCCUAAUGGCAAUUCCUCAGGAUCUGGAGGAAAAAAAAAAAAAAAAAGAAAAGGAUCAACUCUCACGUUUGAGUUUGUCCCAUUCAUUUACAUAAAGACUAUCCAUCAGUUUGAAGUGUCUUUUUGAGAAUCAGAAAGGGGAGAGGACAUAGGGGGCAAAGGAUGUAUUCUUUGAGAUCCUGCUCUUAAGCAGUGAUUCUUCUCUAGCACUCCUUAUUUCUAGAAUUUUCCAGCCAUCUCUAACAAAAGCAAAGUGCAAAGAGCAUUUAAUACAAACCAAAACGUGAAAUGAUCUUUUGAUAGUUCAGUGUUGUGGCUGUGACUUGGAAUUUUUCACUACAUUAAAAAAAAAAAAAGCCACAUAUGCCCGGGUAGUCUCUGCAUCAAGUCUGAUACCAUUGCUCCGACGUUAUGAGGCUGAAGCAGUUGUGGCUGAUUGAUGUCACUCUUCUAGCCAUUUCCUAUUUCCACAGAGAGAGGCCGGGUUAAUCCAACUCCAGUCUAACUUCGGAGGCAUCAAGGAUUCUAGGCAGCGUCUCCCGUGUUUCUUUUUCCAAGUGAAUUGCUGGAGGAAAACAAUGAGGUCCAUGUGUCUUUCCAUCCCCAGGGACCAGCUCAGUAAUGGGCAUGUAAGAACACGCUGAAAAAAAUUGUUUUGUUUUUGAACGACAGCGAUUUAAGAGUAGUAAGGUCCUCGUAAAUAUAGGACAUUGUACUUGUGUUUUUCUUCCGAGCAUACAAAUAUUUGCAAUGAGGUUGCAUCGCAAACUCCACAGCCAUUGUGGCACCUGGGGCUCUGUGACUUGGAGGCAGAGGAGAUGGAAUGCCGGUGAAAAGAAGGAGAUUGUGGUGUGAAUGUGAGGGAUGAGGGUGAAUUAGUUUCCUACGGCGGCUGUUACAAAUUUACCACAAGAUAAAUGAGUUAAAACAGUACAGAUUUAUUAUCUCACAGUUCUGGAAGACAGAAGUUCAAACUACUGGCAAAGUUCAAAGUGUUGGCAAGGCUGUGCUCCUCAGGAGGCUCUAGAGGAGAACCUUUUUCUUGCCUUUUCCUGUUUCUAGGGGCCACCUGCAUCCUUCGGCUCAUGGCCUCUUCCUCCAUCUUAAAAGCCAGCUUCUGCAAAUUCGUCUCUAAUUCUGACACUACUUCUCUUGCCUCCCUCUCUCACUUAUAGGGGUCCCUGUGAUGACAGUGAGCUCACCCUGAUAAUCGAGGCUAAUCUCCCCAUCUUAGGGUUAGCCUAUUAGCAACCUAAAUUCCACCGGCAACUUUAAUUCCCCCCUUGCCAUGCACCGUGACAUAUUCACAGGUUCUGGGGAGGAGGGCAUGAGCAUCUUUGUCGGGGCAUUGUUCUGUCCAUCACAGAGAAGCACUCAGAGAUUCCGGACUCCAGUAUCCUCAUUGUACACUUGAGGAAGCUUGGGCUCAGAGGCUUUAUGAUAAUUCCAACAGUUUUUGCAACAGGAGGAUGAGAAUAUCUGUCCAGGAGCCCUAAUCAAGACUCAGCAGGAGGCUGGUGGCUUCCUUUCCUUCCUUCUUUUGCUUCCUUCCUGUUCUUCCUGUGCUUCCUUUCAGUUCUUCCUUCUACAUAUGGGGCCCAUCGCAUUCCCACUGACUCAGAUGCUGAGGGGCCAGACUGAAGGGACAGUGGCCAUUGCAUCAAGUCAGAGAACGGAUCUGACCCAUCUAGUAGAAGCUUAUUGUUUUGGCAGAAGCACAAGCUCUUAGAGGUGCAGCUGCAGGGUGUGACCUGUUGGGGACAUUGAGCUCAGUGACCAUGGGCCCUGAGAGUCUGAAAUCCUGGAAUUUCUCCCAAAACGAAGUCCAUGUAGGGAAGCCAAAGUGUGAGUCUUACCCGGCUGGUUUACAACUGACUGACAUUUGCUGCCUGGGCAGCUGCUGUGGGUGUCUGGAAACCCUACUGGACUAGGACUGGCCCCAGCAAAAAACAAGUGUUAUAGCUGCCCAGUGUCCUCUGAGUGGAUGCUGGUGAUUCUGGUAUGGAGCCCAGAUGUAAGGCAGCAGGUGGUCCAGAAGGCACCAGAAGAGGUCUCCUGUCAAAGUCAGGGCCAGAGAAGAAGGCACAGGGAACCUACUGCACGAGACUUUCACUUGCAACGAGCAACCCAUGAUGAGGAGGGAGGAUUCCUGGGGGCAUUGAGUCCCCCAGACACAAGGACCCAAGACCUUCUUGCUUGGAAAGUGAAUUACUCAGAAUUCCGAGAUGAUGCCAGUCUUGGAGGAAGAUGACAUGAGGACCCAAAACCUUCUUGCUUGGAAAGUGAAUUCCUGAGAAUUCCGAGAUGAUGCCAGUCUUGGAGAAAGAUGACAUGAGGACCCAAAACCUUCUUGCUUGGAAAGUGAAUUCCUGAGAAUUCCGAGAUGAUGCCAGUCUUGGAGGAAGAUGACAUGAGGACCCAAAACCUUCUUGCUUGGAAAGUGAAUUUCUCAGAACUCCACGAAGACUCCAGUCUUGGAGGAAGAUGACAUGAGGACCCAAAACCUUCUUGCUUGGAAAGUGAAUUCCUCAGAACUCCACGAAGACUCCAGUCUUGGAGGAAGACGAGGUGUUGAGAGAUAGCUGGGAUCCCUGAGGAAGGCAGCCCCAGUCUCCGGUGGAGAAUUAAGAGGGGCCCAAGCAGAUGGUUGGUGGUGGAAACGUCACCUCAGUAUAGUACUAUGGAGUUUCCUUUCACCCCCAACAGCUGGUGGUUUCCAGGGGUGAAGAGUGAAAAUUGAAGCAAGGUGUCUACUGUCCAGCUGUAGACAAGGAGGCAGUGCGCCUGCCAUCCCCAAGGAAGAGUCAGUUCAGAAGCACAGCAGCUGCUGGAAACCCAGGAGGUUUCCAGUUCGUUCCUGCUGGGACCUGGCAAGAACUGCACUGUCAAGGCUGCAAGAGGCUCCUGACGGCUUCUGACAUGUACGGAAUGGAAUAAGAGAACCUAGCAGAAAUGGAAGCAGAGGCAAGAGGUCUGGAGGCCAGGAAAAUGUCAAUGGAAAGCAGCUAGCAUGAAGACCCCACAGUGUUCCUCCCUCUAGUAGUCUGGUAUUAUUUGGAGCUGAGAUGCUCCCAAUAUGGUUGGGACAUUUGUCCCCUCCAAAUCUCAUGUGAGAAUUUGAUCCCCCGCUUUGGGGAUGGGGUCUAAUGGGAGGAGUUUGGGUCAUGAUGGGGGACCCCUCAUGAAUGGCUUUGUGCCCUGCUCACCAGGAAUGAAUGAGCUCUCACUCUACUAGUUCACUGGAGAGCUGGUUGUUUAAAGAGCCUGGCAUCUCCCCCACUUUCUCUCUUGCUCCCCCUUCUCACUGUGUGAUAUACCUGCUCCCCUUUGCCAUCCAUCAUGAGUGGAAGCUUCUUGAAGCCUCCACCUAAAGCAGAUGCCGACACUAUGCUUCCUGCACAG